rnacentral:rRNA from 1 species
AUUGAACGCUGGCGGCAGGCCUAACACAUGCAAGUCGAGCGGAGCGGCGGACGGGCGAGUAAUGCCUAGGAAUCUGCCUGGUAGUGGGGGAUAACGUCCGGAAACGGGCGCUAAUACCGCAUACUAUCAGAUGAGCCUAGGUCGGAUUAGCUAGUUGGUGGGGUAAAGGCCUACCAAGCCGACGAACCGGAACUGGUCUGAGAGGAUGCACAGUCACACUGGAACUGAGACACGGUCCAGACACCUACGGGAGGCAGCAGUGGGGAAUAUUGGACAAUGGGCGAAAGCCUGAUCCAGCUAUGCCGCGUGUGUGAAGAAGGACUGCGGAUUGUAAAGCACUUUAAGCUGGGAGGCGUUACCAGCAGAAUAAGCACCGGCUAACUGCGUGCCAGCAGCCGCGGUAAUAC